GUUGGGAAUCUUGGACAAUGGGGGAAACCCUGAUCCAGCCAUGCCGCGUGAGUGAUGAAGGCCUUCGGGUUGUAAAACUCUUUCGACGGGGACGAUAAUGACGGUACCCGUAGAAGAAGCUCCGGCUAACUUCGUGCCAGCAGCCGCGGUAAUACGAAGGGGGCUAGCGUUGUUCGGAAUUACUGGGCGUAAAGCGCGCGCAGGCGGUCUUCCAAGUCAGUGGUGAAAGCCUGGAGCUCAACUCCAGAACUGCCAUUGAAACUGUUAGACUUGAGUACGAGAGAGGUGAGUGGAAUUCCCAGUGUAGAGGUGAAAUUCGUAGAUAUUGGGAAGAACACCAGUGGCGAAGGCGGCUCACUGGCUCGUAACUGACGCUCAGGCGCGACAGCGUGGGGAUCAAACAGG
rnacentral:rRNA from 1 species